GCCGGAGUGGCGGAACUUGGUAGACGCACGGGACUCAAAAUCCCGCGAUGGUGACAUCGUAUCGGUUCGAGUCCGAUCUCCGGCACCA
rnacentral:tRNA from 1 species